AUUGAACGCUGGCGGCAGGCCUAACACAUGCAAGUCGAGCGGAUGAAGGGAGCUUGCUUCCGGCUUCAGCGGCGGACGGGUGAGUGAGUGCUAGAAAUCUGCGUAACAGUUGGGUAUCACGUCUUGAAACGGGGGCUAAUACCGCAAAACUGCUGAGGAUGAAAGAGAGGGAUCCACGGACCUCAGGCUCUCAGAUGAGAAUAGGUCGGAUUAGCUAGUUGGGGGGGUAGAGGCCUACAGAGGCGACGAUCCGUAACUGGCCUGAGAGGAUGAUCAGUCACACUGGAACUGAGACACGGUCCAGACUCCUACGGGAGGCAGCAGUGGGGAAUAUUGGACAAUGGGCGAAAGCCUGAUCCAGCCAUACCGCGUGUGUGAAGAAGGUCUUCGGAUUGUAAAGCGCUUUAGUUUGGGAGGAAGGGCAGUAAGUUAAUACCGUGCUGUUUUGACGGUACCAAAAGAAUAAGCACCGGCUAACUUCGUG
rnacentral:rRNA from 1 species